GUGAACGGUUGUAUGGUGCUUGAAGAUAGAACUGAGAAUUAUCUAUAUCGUGCAUCGCUCUAACAAGUAAUACACGAAAAACAACGAGUUAGACAAUACUUUAAAAAGUGUCUUCUUCGAAGAUGUUGCUACAUAUAAAUUUUUCCGCCUUUUGAUACAAAACGAUCUACGACUUUGAGUUUCUGUUAAUAAUCUGUGUAUACUGCUCGUCAUUAUUUACGUGCGUGACGAUCACAGAUCAUGUCAGUUUAUAUGUGUCAAUCACGUGUAGUGAAGUGAGUUUGCUUUCUCGGAAGCAAAUAUUGUAAAAUUUCUUUGAAGAAAUAAAAAUUCCGACGAGGUUAAAACUGACAUUAUAGAUUUCAAAUAAAAACUACAAGUGAACAAUAAAAAAUCGGAAAGGUCAAGAGAUAGAGAGUAACACAAAAUAUAUAUAUUUGUUAUAAACACUCGAACAUUAUCAACAAAAAAGUGAAAGACGUCAAAGGAUACGAUAAAAAAAACAAUUAUAGGAUAAGAAGAAAAAAGGAAUCGAUCAGUAAAUGAGCGAUGAGUAUGAUACGUGGUACCUAAAGUGUAUCCUAAACUGUCAUAGAUCUAAAUUGCAAGUCACAUAUUUGUAUUCGUCACAUCGGACAGUAUUUUAACACUGAGGAUGACGAUACUAAUGUAAUUAAAAUUCAUUUGUGUUAUUCAUCAUUUGUUGUUUGUCACAUCUGUAGCAUUUUUGCAUUGUACCAGUUGCGUAAUUAUACAUCUAAUCAUCGGUUAGAAAGUAAUUUAUUACGCGUGAAGAACAUGCAGCGUGAUUUACGACAUUGUCACCAAAUAGCACUUUUCCACUUUGAUCAAAACAAACGACCCUGUGACGCUUACAAAAUUAUUAGUAAAGUUUAUCCUGAUUCUGCACCAUGCGCCAGGACAUUCAACUCGUGGUUUCGCAGAUUCAAACUUGGCAAUUUUGAAUUUAAUACAAACAAAAAGUUAAAAGAUGAAGACUUGCAGAAACUGUUAGAUAAAAAUCCAAAAAUAUCGCACAGAAAACUGGCUAGAAAAUUGAAUGUUACGCGAAACACUAUUUGGAAACGUUUAAAAACUAUGAAAAAAUCCCAAAAUUUAAAAAAACGCAUGGACUUGGCUAGUCAAAUUCGUUGCAACACUUACAUUUCACUGCUUUCAAGACACAAUAAACAAAAGCACUUUCUGGAUUACGUUGUGACUGGUGCUGAAAUGUCGAUAUCUUACGAUACUUCUAAUCAAACAGAAGCAAAUGCAAAUGAGGAAAAAAAAUGAAGCUCUAUAUUUGGUGGGAUACUAAAGGUGUUAUAUAUUACGAAAUGCUACAAUCACAUGAAAGUGUUAUCGAUCAAUAUUCACGACAAUUAAUUAUGGUAAAGGAAGCGUUAAACUGGAAUCGACCGCAAAUAGCAAACAAAAGACGUAAGGUGAUUCUGUUGCAUGAAAUGUUUGUCCGAACAAAUAUCCUUAGAUCCGUAAAAGAACAGAUAUUGGAAUUUGGAUGGGAAGUUUUAGCCUAUCCUACAUCCAUUCUUGACAUUACUCCAUUUGAUUACGUUUUCCCACAUCUGGCAGACGCUUUUAAAAACAAACAAUUUAAAAGUUUCGAAGAAGCAAAAAAUUGGAUCGUAAGAUUGAUUGAUUUACUACACCCAGUUUUGUUUACUGAUGGAUUUAGCUUAUUACUAAACAAGUGGAAAGAAUAUGUAGCAAAAAAGGGAAUACAGUUUGAUUAAAAUACAAGGAAUCACCGCAAGUUUUGUCUCUUAUCUCAUCGAAUCGAAUAUCUAGUAACUCAGUUCAAUUUGCUAUAAUGCUUGAUAGUGAUGAUAAUUCUUAGCGAGGACAAACAACGCCAAAGCAAUUGUCGCGGCUGCUUUGGAUCCGUCUGUCGAAAUAGUGCUUUCAAGUACGAAUGUGUGCAAGUGAAAAUCGCAUAGAACCGAAAAUUAUUCUAAAUAAUUUUGUUUUUUAAACGAUUCUAUAUUAUUCUCAUUGUGGUAUUUAUCGACGUUUUACUAUUUUAAAAGGACGAUUUUUUUAGUAUAAGUAUAUUUUUAUAUGUACGGGGUGUCU